ACUUCGGAUCACGCGGGUGCGUAACCGUAAAACGUAUCGCAGGUAACGACGGGGGACGGGUAUACGCGAACGCGGUUUCGCGUGUUUCACAAUGGCCGGUGGAAAGUGUUGGUUUGGCGUACGCCGAAAUUACGGUACUUCGAUGCGGGGCGUACGGAUCAUUGUACACACUUGUCUGUCUACGGGGACGAUAAAAACAAUCGUGUUCUGGUUUUUUUUUUUUUUUUCCUGUGUACUUCUCACGGGGAUAAGGACUACAAAUCUUUAUAUUGCAAUCGAUUGAUCGAUUGUUUAUGUUUCGACGAAAUUUAAAAAAAAAAAAAACCUAUUUUAUUAUUUUCGAAAAAUUUCAAGACGGCCAUGUAUAUUAUUGAGAUUGUUUCUUCUGAAAACGUUGACGUAUCAAAUUAUUGUUUUCAGUAAAUUCGUGAUUUUUAAUAUUGUUUUUUUUUUAAUAUUCUGAGAAAACAAGCGCACUGCAGUCAAUUAAUCGUAAUAACAAUAAUUAAUCAAAGCGUUCGAUUAUGCAGCCUGCUACAUUAUUAUUGGUGCCUAAUUUUAUCUGAUCUUUAAACAAACUAUUAAAAAUCAACGAAUUUAAUGAAAACUAAAAGUUGAUACGUCAAAAUAUUCGGAAGACUAAACUACACAGAAUGGUUAUCUUUAAAUUUUUCAAAAAUAAUAAAAACAAAAUUAAUUUUUUUAAUUUCUUUGUCAAUGCGUAAAAAACUAUUUGCAACAUAAAUAUGCGUAGUCCUUAUUCCUGUGAGUAAUAUAAAAAACAAAGACAGAAUUUGAUUUACUUGAUUAUCUCCGGAUAUAUUACAAUGGGUAUAUCUUCGUAGAACACCCUGUAUAAACCGUUGAUUUUUUUUUUUUCUUAUUUUGUCGUCUUUCGAAUUUUUAGUGCAUCAUAAGUUUUAGGGAUUUCCUAAAACGUUAUUUUCGACUCGAAAACCGCUAAAUAAUAACCGUUCGAAAUUUAUAAAUUUCAGGAAGCGUGAACUGAUUAACGUUAAUUAUUUGAUAAUUAGCUAAUUUGUUCCGCCCGGGUGGAUUGUUAUAAAUUCAAUUAAAACCAAAAAAAAAAAAAACAGCCUUCGGUUAAAAGUUAACGAAAAAUAAAUCGAACCGUUCCCAACCAAGUUUUUGAACUCGCCUGAAUAAAGUUAAUAUUUACUUAUUAUUUUUCACGCUAUGAAUAACCAACGCUAAACUUAUACAAUAUAACGAGCAGUACAUAUUUCUAAAUUUUUUGAAUUGUAUAAAAAUUAAAUCAAAUCGUGUAUCGCGAUAAAUUGCGUUUGUAAUACGCAUAAAUCGCGUUGUGGUAAACAGCCAAUUAAAAAUGAAUUACGUAUUACGGAAAAAAAAAAAAAAAUCAUCUUUACCUCGUUAACCAAACCGGGUGUUUAUGCAGAUUCACUUGAAAAUUGCUAAUUAGUUAGUAUACGAUAAAAAUAAUUUAUCGACUCGGGGUUUAUUAUUGUUCUCUUUUUGUUUUACCGUAAUUUCGAUCUCUUUUCCCACAUUUUUUUAAAGCAAUUUCGGACUCAGAAUGGACCGAAGACGCUUACGGUUUUAAAAAGAUGUUCAUUUAUUUUAUCUGUGAACAACUUUACUACCAGAAGGCUUGUGCUUGAAAUAUUUUAGGGAAGUCAAUUUACUCGUGAAAUUACGAAAAACCGAAAAAAACGGGAUAUGUACGAAAUAUAUCACUGGAAUAUUACUGUUUUUUUUUUCUCUUGUUUAUAAUUUUUUAACCAGCAAUUUCGCUCAAACACUUAAUGAUAGUAAUGUUUCUAAAAGGGAAUUUCACUAGUAAGGUACUUUAGAGAGGUCAUUUUUUGAUUUUCUAAAGUUUUUUCCGGGCAAAUUAAAAAAAACCGGAAAAAAUGUAGGAAAACUGGGUAAAUCGGUAUGACAUUUAACAAAUAUUAUUAAAAAAAAUAUAUAAAGUCUACAUUAAUUAUUUCACCAUAAUAUGACAUAUAUAUCGUCGACAACGCAUCACUAUAUCAACUGAACUCCGCUCAGAAUCGUUUUUUCGUAAGCAAUGGUUUAUCGUUGCUUACAGCUAUACAUUGAAUUGUCUGUAACAGUGGUUGCACCCGUCCCCGUCAUCCUGGGACGUAUUUUCGUUCUUAUUCAGUUUUUUUCGACAAAUCGAAUCUCUUUUUCGGAGAAAAUUCUAGUUGAUUUUUAGUGUUUAAAGUGCAUUAGUUUUUUUUUCGAGAUGUUGAACGGUUUUCAUCUUAGCGAGACGUUAGCGCGUUAAAUACCUACGCCCGUCUUUUCAAUUUUUCGCGCGAGCCUGUUUUCGGCAAUCCGAAAUUCGAUUUUUUUUUUUUUUUUCGGAUCGCGGACGUUCCGUUCAUAAACACGCGUCCGGUUCGCGUUUUCGCCCGCAAACCUAUUGAAACACGUUAAACUAUAAUCAUAAUUCGUACCGUAUUUCGGAUUCUAAUAGUCUAGAACGGUGCAACAGUGUAACCGAUCGUUUUACUGAGACGUAAGUCGCUUUUCUACGUAAACCCGCUUUUCCGGUCGGUAAAACAAAACCGAUCACGUCCGUUCACCGUCGCACCUCGAAUCGCGCGGAUUUUCCGACGGUUUUUCGGAAAACAAAACGGCGAAAAAACAAUCGGCCAUACACAUUUUGUCGGCUUCCCGGUUCACCCGCGGACGUCCCGUCGACAGAUACCCGCGGCGGUUACGUCCGUGCGCACUGUGGCGUCCGUCACGGCCGCCGGACAUUUUCCCGUAACGUUCCGCGUAAUCCCGCGGCGACCGACAACAGUAACGAUAACGACGGCGGAACACGCGGCCGCGUUGCGCGGACCAGUCGCGGACCGUCGGCGGAGGGUUCCGCGAACCGCGUGCCGCGCGAACGCGCCGUCAGGACGAAAUCCGUUUCCGGUGCGCGCCGCCGGUUUCCCGUCGGCGUCGUCCCGCGGCCGGCCGGGCCGCCGCGUCCGCGAACCUCCGCACCGCGUUGUGUCAACGUGUCAUUCCGUUUAUCGGCGUCCGCCUGUGACCCUCCGGGUUUCCGUUUGAAAGUUUUGUUUUUCGUUUCCCACUCUCCCCCCCCCCGGCCGCCGAAACGCGUCGUUCGAAACCGCCGCCCGGCGACCACCCGUUUCGAAAAUUCGUAAUCGCGUUGUUUUCCCGCCCCGCCGAAUCGCCGGACGCAUUCAAACGCAGCCGCCACGAACGGUUCGCCGCGCGCGUCGUCUCGAGUGGCCGCCGAACGCCGCGGCGUUACUCCCGGCCCCCGCGGUCGUUUUUCGCCCGCCGUUUUACAUGCGUGUUUUCCGUUCGGUUUUCUACGGAAUCGCACGGCAGUUUCCCGGAUCCGAUCGGAACGUGUUUUUUUCGUUUUUUUCACCUUUCUUGUUUCGUCACUUUUUGUUAAGAACUAUCAAAUUUACUAAUAAAUUUUCAUUCGGUGGGGCGAUGACGGGGUUUUAUUUUUUUUUUCUUAUUGUUCGUUUUGAAAUAACCGUUGUGGUCCGAAAUUUGCAGACAAAACACGUUUAUUAGACACUUUUUAGACGCGACAAAAUUGUCAAAACAUUCCAGCGGUUUUUGAAUUAUAUUUAAAGGCAUUUGGCGUUUUAGAGUUUUUAUUUUGUUUUAUGCGAUUAAAGUUGUAUUGGCCGAACAGAAAUUGAUAACAAUUUAAGCGGAAGACCGUUAAAAAUAAUCGUUCUUAUAGCGAUCGGAAAAAAAAUGUCGCGCGUAAUGUAAAUACGUUUUAUUUUAUUUUUUAUUUUUUUAUUAACAUUUUAGUUUCAACGAAAGUUGCGUGCGGUUCAAGUUAAAUGACUAUGUGUAUCCUAAAUUUCGUAAAUUCUGAAUAUUUUUCUUCUGAAAGUUUUUUAAAAUAAUAUUCGAAAACUUUCCAAAACGAAACGUCUAGUGUUACAACCGUGUACCGAUAUUGCCAAAUAUAUGAUCAUAACGGCGAUGGGGGGGGGCGGUGGUAGGAAACCAAUAAAAUCAAUCAAACUAACCGAUUUUCUCGUGGGUUUCUUAUCAAACGCACUGCAGCGCGCGCAGAAGUUUUAGAAUAAUAAUUUAUUAGGUACCCGUGUGAAGGUAAAUAUUAUUAUAUCUGCAGUCUGAACACACACACACACACACCCAGUUGCGCACAAUCUCGGCGGAAAAUCUGCAAUGUUCGAACUCAUCGUUGUACGCGCACGCGACGAUAGAUUGUCUGUUGGUAUUGUCGAAAAAUGACACGUUGUCGACGAACCUGUAAAGUUUUUUUUGUUUUUUUUUCUCGUUUUAACAUUUCGAAUUACCGCGGCCUACGGAUAACGUUUCGUGUGACGGCGUACUCGCGCCACCGCCUGUACACGCAGUAGACGAUGUUUCAACAUCACGUCGAACGGACGUACGCGUGGCGUUAGAACAAUUGCACGUACAAUACAGACCGGAAACCGAUAAAGAAAUGGGACAGAAAAAAACGAUAUACCCGUACGUAUAAUGUAUGUGUUGUUACGCGAUUUGUUUCGCGUUGACAUUUCGAAAUUAUCGUUACGUUAUCGCGGUUAUAGAAAAUAAUAUAACGGUAUUGGCGAUUUUCGGGUUUUUUUUUUUUUUUUUCAUAUUUUCAUAAAUCCUCAUCGAUAUAAGGAUUUUAGAUUCGCUUCNCGCGUGGCGUUAGAACAAUUGAACGUACAAUACAGACCGGAAACCGAUAAAGAAACGGGACAGAAAAAAACGAUAUACCCGUACGUAUAAUGUAUGUGUUGUUGAAAAUUCGUUGAAAAUCGAAAACUCAGCGACUAACUUUUUCUUGUAAAAUCGCGGAUCUAGUCGGUGUAUUGAAAAGGUAGAUUUUUUUUUUUUUUUUCGACGCAACACUUUUCACAGUUACGGGGGAAAGCUGGGAAAAAACGGUAAUGCAAUAUUUAUAUACUAUAGCUGUCCCGCCCGGCGUUGCCCGCGCCGAUUUCGUAUUACUUUUUUUACCCGUGUUUCUGUUUGGUUUUGACCGCGUCGGUAAUGAAUAAAAACAAAUAAGUGGAAACUCGGUAAUCCACCUUUGGCGGCCCAAAAGUGUUCCGUUACGGCAUUUUUUCACGAUUUUCAUAAAAAAAAUAUCGAAACCUCGAAUUUUUUAUUUAUUUUUUUUUUUUUGGGGGGGGAUCGGUGAAUUUCAUAAGAAGUGAAGCCUUAGAUAACCUAUCAGGGAGUGGGGCGCUCGACGGCGGGAAAGCUCGUGUACCGUAUUACAGCUGAUCGCCGCUCGCAGACGGCACAGAGUUCGUUAUUUAUACUUCCAUGUGAGUAUUGGCCGACAAUUAAUGUUUUAAUAUAAAAUUAAUAAACUCUAUUGUUAAUCUGCGUGUAUAAAAACGGAUCGGUAUUUCGUCGGUGACGCCGUAACUCGAAUACCGUCAAAAUUUCAGAUUUUUCCGGUAGAUUUUCCAAAAAUGUUCUUUCGUAAUAACCUUACGAAGGAACGGCGCCGGCAACGAAAUACCGAUUCAUUUUUUACAUUAUAUAUAUUUAUAGAUGCGCGUAUUUCCUGAUUAUUUAAAAAAAAAAUUAUAACUCGGUUGUGUCUCUCUCGCGGCGCCCUCCGGUGAAUCUGUUGUAAUUAACCGGACAUGCGGUUUCGUUAUUUUCGUAUCGGUUUUUUGGGCCUAAUUUUCGGUUAAAAAUAAUCGUAAAAGUCUGAAGUUUCCGCAGAAUACUAAUAUCGACAUUUUCCAGACGUAAUGAAAUUCGAAUUCUUUUGGUCGUUGUAUUUUAGUUUUAUGUCUGGACAUUAUGUCGAUCACUUUACAACCGGAGCUCGAUUAAACGUGUCUAGGCGGAGGCUGUAAGUCGAAUGGUGCCGCUGUGUUUUCCGUCACGUUUCUCCUUUCCUUAUGAAUUCGGUGUGAAUUCAGAGUGUGACGGAGUAGUUGCGAUUUUACAGUUCUACUGGUUUUACUAAAAGAUAAAAAUAAAGACGCGGAUUAUUUCGCUUGAUGGUACUUUAUUCAACAAAUUAGUCCCAAAUACAUUUAUCGAAAAAUUAGUUUUUAAAAAAAGUAGUUUAAAACAUUUUUUUUUUAAAAACACUCUUUCGGUCCGUCAAAAGCUCCUAUUUUAUAUUUUUUUUUUUCGUGUAGCGAGUACUUCAAAAAUAAGCGGCAUUUCUACUAGGCGACAAUUCAUUCGAGACGUGCACACGUUUUCAAUACACCACCUAGGUUCGUGUCGAUGCUACGCUAUACCGACGUAAUAAUUUCAUAACGGUUACCGUCGACAAUCGAACACCAUUACACGCGUCGAACAGCACUCGAAUACGGAAAGAAUAAUAAUAGUAAAAAACGAUUGGCUCCGGACAAAAGCGAUUUCGCCGUGAGCGGUAUCGCGCCCCGUGGACAUUAUAAAAAAAUGCAACCGUUCACGCGUAAAUACGGGAAAUUUUCGGGUGAUACGCGCCCCGGCGCACGGCCAUUACGUGGCCCGCGGACCGUCCGAGAUUCCGCGCGCGGCCGUGUACACGAUCCGGCGUUCGCCUGUUAUCGCCGCGCCGACAAGUCCCCGCGCGGCGCGAACGCGUGACGGAUCGUUUACCGAGCAAAACGAAAACGUUCGGGGCAGUUUACGGCGGCCCGACCCCCGUGCGUUAUUCAUCGGUCGCGUCACGGUCUUUUCAAAUGGGAAUUGACGCGUGCGCCGCCGUGCUCGGCACGUAUUCGGAUCGCGUACGCGAUCCUGUCCACGUAGAUCGCCGAACGCGACGGCCGUUGUACGCGCGACAUCCCCUCCGUGCGCGCCCCGCGGUAUCCGAUAGUGGCCGCGGUAUCGGAUUAUAAUAAUAACGCCGCGGAUUGACGAUCCCGCAACGCGCGGUAUCCCACCCCACCCCCCCCCCCCCCCCCCCCCCCCCAUACGCCGACCGCCUGUACGGUUUUUGUGCGGGCGUGCGAACGGAUCGGGAUAAACAAUACACCGAUAACGUAUAUCACGCGCGGCACGUCGUGGCGAUACCGCGCGUGUACGCCGCGCCGGCCCGGGCGGAGAGCGCCGCGAUAAGGGCGCGGACGGCAAAGCGGCGGCCCGGAUCGACGAUCGACGGUACAACGCGCCGGGGCCGGUGCCGGGAGCGACGCGAGAAGGCGUACGUCGGGCACCGGUGACCCGCGGGCGCGCGUACGGUCGCGUACCGCGGUUACGGCGACGGACCGAAACGGCGCGCGGGCGUACCGUGCGCGACGACGUCCCGCGGCGCACGUGAACCGGACGCGCGCCCCGCGCGCACCGAGGACGCACGUCGGUUCGCGCGAAAUCGCGUGCUGUAACGGCCGCCGCGUACGGUCCCGCGAAAUGUCCGGGUUUUCGUUCGGUUCCGCGGAGAGGUAUUCGCGUGCGCGCUCGUACAAAAGACGAGUCGGCGGCGCCGGGUUUCGAUACAAAACACGAAAAAAACAAUUAUAACCCCGCCUGAAAAAAUAAACCGAAAAAGAAAAAGAACGUGUUUUCGUCCGCGCCAACUAACCCCAUGCUAAACGCGAUCGAAAUGAAACAACGCAAAUCCGCGUGAUUUCGGGGCAUUUUUUUCGACUCUCCCGGGGAUAUGGACGAACGACACCGCGGUCGGCGUCGCGUAACGCGCGCGGACAACGCGGCACGGCCCCGAAACCGGGCGAUGGGAGAAAAACGAAAAAACGAAAAAAAAAAUGCACGAAAUAUAUUACUACGACAUUACGAUUUUUUUUUUCCUGGCACAAUUUUUCUACCGAUAAUUUCGCUCAAACUUAUACUAAUAGAAAUGUUUCUAAAAGACAAAUUUCACUUGGGAGGUACGUUAAUAUAUCAAAUAUUUUACUGUUACAAAGAAUAUUCGGACGCUGAAAAUAAGUUAAACUUAAUAACUAAACUCACAUGAUGGAAAAGUGGGUUUACUUGUUUUAUAAAGAUUACUAUUCCUUAGAUAUAAUUUUUUCGACAAGUUUAGUUUGAUAAAAUUACCUGCUACAUUUAUACCGAUACGGUUUGUUGUUAGUACGAAUCACGCCGUUGUCGAGUUAAUGUAUUGAAUUCACGUGUUUUUCGCCAGCAAAUUAUUUUGUCAUUUACCGAUUAAUUUGUAAAUAGUUAAAAUGCCUAAAAACUCCAAAUUCAAAACCGGCAUCGUACAACAAUUCUGGUGAGGUUUUCGAAAUUUUAAAUAAUACAACUGUUUUCUGUCAGCAUUGUCAAAAACCGAUAACAGUUAGAAAAAAUUUUAAAAUUGAUCAGUAUGCAAAGUCUUUUUUGCAUCAAAAAUGUCUAAACAAACUUUCAUUCAAUCAACGUCUAUAGAAUAUCAAUCACAGUUUUUCAAAGAACUUUGUAAUAACUUUAAUUUCUUCAAACAUACAUUUAUAUAAACUACAAAAUACAAACUUUCAAACUUUUUUGGAAAAGUACACAAAUAAACAUAUACCAAAUGAAAGUACGUAGAAAAAAGAACUAUUUAAGUAAAUGUUAUAUUGAUGUUUUACAAAAUAUUCGAGAAUAUAUGGGCAGCCCGUCUGUUUUUUUUUUUUGCUGUUGAUGAAACUAAUAAAUAACGUUAAAUUUUCAUUAUUCGUGUAUUUCCAGUAAUUUGUGACUUGUGUACUGUUUGACUAGGGUUAUUCUCUGAGUACCUAACUUAUAAUGUCUUUUUCAACACCGUACUGUACUAUAAUACCAUACGGACGCUGACUCUGUGAUAGUUAUACUAUCGCGACAGUGACAUCAACGACUAUCGGCAUAAGUAUAGUAACUAAUACAUUAUCAUCGUGUGGACUAUAUAGGACUUACGUUAAAACACUACCGGUAGGCGAUAUCGUGCAGCUGCAAAGAAUAAUUAUCUAUACAAUUAUUCAUAUAAAUUAUUAUUAGACGGGGGAAAAAAAAAUUUAAAAGUUUUACAUAAACUAAUAUCUGAAAUUUUCGAGCAACAUUAUGAUCGGGCAUCGAAAAAAAAAAAAAAAAAAAAGUCUGACUUUAAAGUAAACACUAUGACUUUGACACACGGACUUGCAGAAAACAAUUAUUGUUGUUAUUUUCCUAGUGAUAUAUUUUUUUUACAUACAUUAAUGUAAUCAUUUUAUCGUAUUUAUAUUGUACAAAAGAGAACUUCUAGAGUAUGCAUGCAUACGAUGACGACGGGACAACGUCAGUUUUGUUUAAUACUUUGUGAGCAAACUCGGAUUAGUUUUUUUAAAGAACGCCGUACACCGUAUGAUAUAGGCCCGUAGGGUUAUUCGGACGUAAUAUUUUCGUAUUCCGUACGGGCGCUCGCGUAUAAUUAAAUAUUUACGAAUCGCGGAACGCGACGAUAAUAUAUAAUCGAAAUAAUAUUUAUAUGUUUCCGCGUAUCAUUGUGUUCAUACGCAUCGCUGACUGCGAAAUGUAUACCGGUGUCGGGCAAUACUUUGACAAAUCCAGGAUCCGGAUUACAAUUAAAAAUCAUCCGGAAUCCGAAUUCCGAUUUAAUCCGGAUUAUCGGGUCCGGUUCGGAAAUUAAGAGCCGAUCCGCGAAUCCGCUGAUUUCUAUUGAAAUAGAUAACCUAUUAAAAACUAAGCGAUUAAAAAAUAAAAAUAAAAAAACCUGACCGCGUUAAAAAAUAAAUAAAUUGAACAUUUUUAAGAGCAAAAUCUGUUCAAAUAUUGGAAAUGGUAUUGACGAAAAGGCGGUGACAAGCAGAUGAUUACAAAACGUUUGACAAUUUAAAUAUUUUCACUUAAAGACCACUAUACUUGUAUCCGUCUGCAACACCUUUUUCACCAUUUGAUCAUACGAAUUUUUUAUCGAUUAUAAUAGAGCUUGUUUUUCGCCACACAGCACACCGUUAUCAUUACAAAACAAGUUAAUGUCAAAUUUAAAUUGUAAAUUAUACUAUUGUUGGUACAUAAUAAAUAAUUAUUCGAGCAGAGUUUAAAAAUAAAUAACCUGUUUUUAGAUCUCCAUAAUCCGGAUUCGUAAUUUCCAUUAUGAUUAAUACUCAUACUCCGGAUAAUAAUCAAAAUCCGGAUCGGUAAUUCGGAUUCGUAUCGAUCCGGAUCAAUCCGGAUUUGGUGCUCGGCACUAAAAAUGUACCCAUUUAAAAAUCAUUUGAAACCCCAUUCCGAGUGAAGCUCUGAUUAAUUUCAGAUUAUGAUGGAAAACUUAGUCGUUUUCCCCCAAGGUGUAAACUGGGGACCUCAGAAAUACAAAAAAAAAAAACGAACAGACACUGCCGGUUGGUACGUCACUGUUGUAUGUUGAGUGUAGGAAAGGUAGGAUACGUAAUUAAAAUAACGAUAACGUAAUUUAUAUCCGUACACUGCGACUAGACUCAAUUUUAUUUCGGACAAAAUGCUACACUUGGAAUCGGAAUAAUAUUAUUUUCUGGUAGGAAAGUCGUUAAUAGAAAGAAUUAUGGGGAUUAGGUCCGGCGAACAAAGUGGCGCUCUCUGUGUCUUACAAAUAGACGGCCGCGGCGUAUCGCGUCAUAAUACUUUUUGACUGUUGUUGGCCUUUUUAAAAAAAUGUUUUCGAGAAAAACGUUUCAGAUAAAGUGGUCCCGCCGGCUGGAGUAUCCGGAUAUUCUACUUAAAGUACUGCGUGAAAGUUUUACGGUAUUUUCUAUGCUAAUCGGAAAAAUGUUUUUCACGGAAAAAAAAAAAUAUAUAUCAAGUCCUCUCGCUCUACGAUCAAAAUCUAUACGGAAAUUAUUCCACAGUGUUUAUUGGAUAACGUAUUGCUUCGUAAUUAACCGUAUUAAAAUAUAUUCUGCUAAUUCGAUAAAGAAAAAAAAACAAAGAUAAAGAGGAUUGUGUUAUUACACACAUAGAAUAAUGUGAAAAGAAGCGUCGGGUGUUUUGUGUGACAAGAUAAUUCCAAUGAGACUCGUAGGUGAAUUCGACGACAACGCGACAAGACGUUCUGCGGUUCGAAGGGUUGGUGGACGGGUAAAAAAAACAGAAAGAGAGUGUACCGACGGUUGCUUAGGCGGACGAACGGGGGAACGAGAGACGAUAUGCCAAGGAAAAUGGCGUGUGAGAAGUAACAUCGGCGCGACUUCGAUAACACACGAACGAGAUCGAACAGUCAGAGACGGUUUCAGCGUUUGCACAAGACUGGAGGAAUCGGACGCAGCAAUAACGGCAAUGGAAAUAAAUGUAAGAGAAAAAAAAAAAAAGAGGAAGAAAAAAAAAUCGAAAAUAGACGCGGUUAGAUGCGGUUGUACGCGAACGAUACGGCAGUACCCGAGGACAACCGGUGUACGCGAAAUUCGGAGAUUCGGUCAAGUGGAAAUCCGGUGCGGCUGACCGCGAACGCCUCGGACGCCGGCGGAGGAGAAGUAGAAUAACACCGGAGAGACGCACUAAUAACACACUAUAUUAUAAAAAUGCGAAAGUCCGCUCGGACUGCUGUACGGAUUGAACGGAAACUGCGCGGACGGACCGGGAAUAUCGUGAAUAAGAUGUUCCCGCCUCGUCACACUCGACCCUUUGAAAUGGGGCGCGACGCCGGAUAAGUGGCAUUUCGAAAACGUAAAAAUCGAAUUGUUUCCGUUGGUUUACGCGCUGCCCCGGCGAUACGGACGAAACGGACAAUGUAAACGGAAAAAAAAAAAAUGGGGUUCGUAAAAACGCAAACACGGGGCGGUAUUUGUGUAUAAUUUUUUUUUUUUUACACGACCGGACAGGACGGCCAGUUAAUAUUUAUUUAUUAAUCCGUAUAACAUUUUAUUCGAUAUUAUUAAUUAUUAAUAUUAAUGGUUAUUGGAACGCAAGCCGUAAAUAUAAAUUGUCGUCACGUACAGCGGUUUCGCUCGCCGUUUUGCUAAAAUAAUAUCAUUAUCAUUAUAAUCGUUUAUUUCUCCGUAAAGAUAACGGAGAUAAUGUAUGCUAAUAUAUUUGGACACGUCGAGUUAUUAUUGUUUUAUAGACGGUACGACAUUAAUUAUUUAUUAUUUCGGACUUAUAAAUUACGUAUGCGACGGACAAUAACGAUAAUAACGGCACCGCGUGCGCCGCCGAUUUCCCCCCCCCUCUUUUACCCGCCGUCUAAAAAACAUUAUAAUUGUUCAUAUUCCGCGGAUAGAUGCCGUGUAUGAAAGUAUAAUAAAUAACGUUUUGACAAUUCGGUUAUUCAAACGUGUUGCGAUACAACGAUCCGCGGCUAUUAUAAACUGUUAUCGUAACCCGUUUACCGUAUUAUAUGGUAUUUUUCACGAUUGGUCCGCGUGUUCGUUAUUUACAUAUUGUACGUGUAUUCGCUCACGCGCUCCCGUGUCCUAUUACGGACUGCGGCGUUGCGAAUUGUGAAAGCGCGCGUUCAGAUAGACGUCCGCUAUCCGUUUAUGCCGAAAUUAGCGAACCAGAUACGGUUCUACGUUAGGAAUAACGUGUGCGCUACAUUUCCCACUCGCACCCCCUCCCGCCCCCCCGUCGCCUAAACGCGAGCUAAUAGCCGUUAGGGAGAAAAUCGAAUUUCUUUUGUUGAUUUACGGGUCGUCUGGGCGACAUGAAUCGAAAACGAAAAGAGCCGUCGUAGGAUAACGCCAACGGGGACGGCCACCACCGUUGCGGGCGGAAAGUUGGGUAGGCGGCGUACAGAAGGGAAUUCAAUGUAUAUCCGUAAGCAACGACAGAACCGUUGCUAACGCAAAAACGAUUCUGAGCGGAGUUCGGUUUGAUAGUGAUGCUUCGUCAACAACACACCUGUCAUAUUACGGGAAAAUAAUUAAAACAGGCAUUAUAUAUUUUCUUUAAUAAUAUUUAUUUAAUAUUGAUCCGGAACCUUCCCGUUUUACCUACUUUUUUCCCGGUUUUCCCAUUUACCUCCCUAAAGCCUCACUCCCCCCCCCCUCAGUCGGAUUUCUUUUUAGAAAACGUACUAUCAUUGUAAAUCGGAACAAAAUUGCUGGUAGAAACGUCGUCCAUAGGAAAAAAAUCGUGUAUUUUACUCAUAAAUUUCGUACAUUUUCCCGUUUGUCCUCCGUUUUUUCUUUUCGAUUUUUCACAUUUGAAGAGAAAAUUCCUGAGAAAAUCGCAAAAUAACCUCAUCAAAGUACCUCCCCACAACGAUUUUCUUUCGUAAAAUGUGCUGCGCUUAAAAAUCGGGGCGAGAUUUCUGGUAGAAAAGUUGUCCAUCUUGGUAAACCCAUAAGUUUCUUCGCUUCACUAAGAAUUUUAAAAAAAUAAGCAAUAAGUAAAUACAUAUAAAAACUGCAACAGUCUUUCGUGAGAAUACGACCAAUGAACAGUACAGUUACUUUACCUAUAGAAACUUAUUACUUAGUUCAUUGUUGAGUUCAAUUUCAAUUGGCUAGGAUAACGCCUGGCGGGACAGCUAGAAAUAGAAUACGAGUAUAAAUACGAUGGUGAAAUCUAGAGAUAACAAAGUGGGACUUAAUUUUUUAUAGACACCUACAUAUUAUUUUAUACAUAUAAAUUAAUCUGAAACUCAAUUACAAACAAUCAAUUCCAUCUACAGUGUUACACUAUCAUAUCUGUUGUCGGAUAUCAGGACUUGUAAUGAUCAAAAUCACAAUCAAAAAUCGUCAAUUUGUAAUUUGAUUCUAAACGAUUCUAAUGGGACGUAAUAUAAAGAAAUCGAUUUUAAAUUUUAAAGGUCGGCUUCAAACUUUUGAUGAUUUUGAUCUUGGACGUCUGCACCUUUUUCAUGGCCAAUUUUUUCAUAAUCAAUGUGCAUAAAACAAUCGUUGAAAAUUGUUUGUUAUACAAAACUGCAAUAAUAUGUUUAUAAAGAAUGUCUGUUUUAUAGUUUGACCCAACGAACCCUAUAUCAUACAUUAGUCUUUUGCGUGUGAAAUGAAACUAUUUUAUUUAUUUUUUUUUUUUUAAUAAAUCGUCUCAGUUAGCAUCUUAAAAUGCCUUCUUAUCAGCAAACCUCGUCGGUUUUGUCGUACAGAAUGUAUUAUAUUCUCCGUCACGGUGCACACGUAGAAUUUUAGAUAAAUGUUAAUUUCGACGCAGUUUUUAUUCAAUCGCGAAACCAUAUACCUAAUAAUAUUAUUACUACUACACGAUUAAUGCGCUUGUAUACGCAGCAUACCCGCCUACCUGUUGCGUAUAGUUGCGAACCUAUCCGUAUUAUAUACGCAUAGCCACUAAACAAAAUAUAAUAAUAUGACGUGCAGCCCCGCGGCAUGUACAUUAUAGACGACUGUAAAUUAUAAUGGCACUGUAACAUGUAUAUGUAUAGCACAAAAAAAUGUAUAAUGAAUCUGUAAAUUGAAAUAUAAUGAUAACAAUAGUUACCGGAUAAACUAAACCGUUUUUAUUUGAAAACCCCGAACGACGGUUAUCUUACUCGAGUAGGUAACCGAGAUCUGAACAAUGAUGAGUAAUAAAACUGCCGCAUCUUCUUGCCCACAAAAUAGAAAAAAAAAAAAAUGAAUUAGCCAUUAAGUUAGUAUCUGAAUCGUUGUUUGACGUCAAACUCAAUCAGUGGAUUCGAUCUAUCCCGGAUUUUGGUCUCAUCGCCUCAACAAUAAAUUCAUCAUCACUUAAAAGUGAUGAGGAAAUCGAAUCUAUAAUUUAAGUUAUUCAAAUCUAGCAAUAGGUAAAUUCCAAAACAAAAAAAAAAACUAUCAGAAAUUUCGUCAAUAAUAACAUUGAUGAAAUUAUCGAUCUGUAAAUCGUUUUGUAAGGAGUUACAGGUACGAAUUUGGCUCUGUAAACUAUAGUCAGUCGCGGGUUUGCAUAUAGUUAGUUUACAGGUCUGUAGAUAGUACAGAACGUUUGAGCAACGCCCAAUCUGGUUUACAGACCUGUCAGCGCGCUAAUGGUUUCUGUGUGUCCUUACAGAACGUUAGUGCGACGCGGCCUUACCCGAUAAUAAAUUUACUUAUAUAUAUAUAUAUGCGUGUGUGUGUGUGUGUGUGUGUGUGUGUGCGCGCGUGUGUGUGUGUAUACGUGAGUAAUGCGCAUGCGUAUGAAUGGCGAUAGACUGAUAAAUACCGUAAAGGAAAAAAAAAAAAAGUUCGACAUAAAUAAUUGUCGUCGAUCGCGCGCGAAUGCACGCGGGUGUAAAAUAAGCAAUCGAAGAAACAUUAAUUUCGUUAGCUUCGAGCCGCGUAAUACAAUAGUUAUGCUUGCGAAUAAUAACAACACGCGCUAGUAAGGAGCACGCGUGAUAAUCGCCUAGCCGGCGGUUUUUUAAUAAACGUUUUUACCGGAUUAACGUUAACGAAACGCGGACAAGAAAGAGAACGUUACGCAUCGGAACCUUUAGGAAAAUCGCGUUUGGCCCAUUAGCCGAUGACGGCGACAAGUCCGCCGACUCGUAUUAUUGUUGGCGGUCGUCCAAACUAUCGAUUAACCCGAUCUCCGCGUCGGCGGCCAGUGACUAACAGCGUAACGCGUUAGGCCGACUGGACCUAACCUAUAACCUAAUGGGGGCGUACGAAAAAAAAAAAUGAAUAAUACAAAACAAAAACAUAUCCGCGAACCGGGUGCGGGUCACGCGCGCGUGCGAAAACCAUCGGGAAAACUUGGCGAACGUACCUACCUCUGUAUACGGGUAUUAUCGUGUAGGUAUUAUAAUGAUAUCGUACUUGUACUAUACCUAUAAGGAUACGAAAUAAUUUACUAUUAUUAUUAUUUUUUUAUUGUUAUUGCUACUGCACGUUGCUAUGUACAGUGUGCGCGAAAUGAUUGGAGGGGGGCGGGGUUCUUUAAGUUAGGUUAUCCCGGAACAAAGUAAAAAAAAAAACCACGCCGCGUUGAGAAACCCAUGCCGCGACUUGUUCUCUUGCACGAAAACUCGCGUUACAACGAAACACUAUCGUGCCUCGUCGAUGGCGGGUCCAACGGUCUCGCCACUCCCCCCUCUCCGCUCAGACACCAAUAACUCGGAUCAAUAUCCCUCAUACCGUACAUAAGUUUUCACUUCCGCAAGUAAUUAACUGUUGAACACGUAAUUAAUACAAGAUUUUCGAGGAAGGAAAUGGGAGAGAAGCGAUGAAUGUAUUGAUUGUAUUACGAUGUAUUUUUCAUUUUUCUUUUUCCUGUCUGGGAACGAAUUUUCUACCAGAAAUCUUAAUCCAAUCAAAAAAUAAGCUAUCGAUGGUUUAUCGGUGCUCACAGAUAUAAAUUAAAUAACCUUAUGUGUCCUACCUUGUCAACAUCCCGCCUGCAACAAUGGCUGCACCCCAAGCCCGUCGCCAGGGUACGAGCAUAUCGUGCGUUGCUUUAGGGCGGCACACAAUUUUAAAGAAAUCGAAGAGACGACAUUAAAUUAACUAUCGUCAAAAAAUACAGUAAUAAAAAAAAUUACGUAAAUUAAUUUUUGUAAAUAAUAUAAAUAAUUAAACGGCAACGGUUCUUCGAAUUGUCUCCAAAUUUUUAAAUUGUAUUUCCAUUAAAACGACCACCUUAAGUAGUAAAAUAUUUCCUCUAGUUUAAAUACCAAAUGUUCGGUAAAUAUUUGUUUUCUUACCGGACAAAAUGGUUAUUCCGAUAUCUUAAUUUUCUAUAACCGAUUGCGUUUUGCUCGUUUAUAAAGUGUGUAUUCAAUUUAUUGAAAUAAAUUUAAAAAAAAAAAACGACGGACACACUUCGUACGUCACCAGCCACUGUUGUAGACGGGAAGUUAGAAAAGUAUAAUACAGACGAGAAUUUAAUGUAUAUCUGUAUGCGAUAUAUUACAACAACGAUAAACCAUUGCUAACAAAAAAAACAAACAAACGAUUCCUCGCGGAGUUCACUUGAUAUUGAUGCUUUGUCCACAAUAUAUAUGUCAUAUUCUGAUAAAAUGGUUUACAUAUGCAUUAAACAGUUUCAUUAAAAACAUUUGUUUCUUAUUAUUGUACAUAUUUUAUCGGUACUCCGUUUUUUCCAAUAUACCGAGUAAACUGCUAAGAAAAUCGAAUAACGACCUCCCUAAAGUACUUCCCAAGUCCGAUUUCCUUUCAGGAAAAUUGCUAUCGUAGUAAAUCGGAAGGGCUGCGUAGAAAAUAUGUGCACGGAUCUACUACAUGUUUGUAAAACCAUAGGUUUCUUCACUCUACUCAGAAUCUCAAAAAAAAAAAAAAAUACAGCAGUAUUAUAUAAAAUGUGUUGCUGUGUAUGUGUAAUGUGCAUAACAUAAAAAAUUAAUUUACCUUUUUUGACGGCUAAAUAUUCAUUACAACUGACAAAACUGUUGAAAUCGUACUUGAUAGAUUUGAAUAUUGAAAACGUAUUGAUAAAGUAAUUACAAUUCUUCAAAUACUAUGAUACGCUUGAAUUACUUUUUAAAUAUUGUUUUUCUUUAUCGUUAAUAAAAAUCGAAAUGAUUUACGUAAACAUUUAAACAUUCUUUUCAAAAAUCCAAUCAAAUUUUUUUACGUUUUCCAGAUAAAUAGUUGGCUGUAUUUUUGUUUCUAACGUGUCCUAUAGUAAAUAACCUAAAAAUUUAUACUACGUUUCAAAAAUUUAAAACCGCCAUACACAACUCCAACCAUUUUGUCUGAGUUUUAGUUCUGGGUCGAUUAAAAUGUAUACACCGUCAUCGUUCUCCUUAAAACAAUUCAAAUUAUAUUUAUUUAAGAAAAUGAGAAUGAUUGAGUUAUUUUCGUGGUGUGACUACGUUAUGCGAAUCAGUAAGAUUUAACUUAAAUACUUUUUGACUUGGAUACUUUUCAACGUCAUUUAAUGCUGUCGUCCCGUAGCUUUGGAUUGGUCGCAAAUAAAUUAUGGUGGGAGAAGACAGUGAAUUUUGAAAAUAAAAUGUUUUCCACCAAAGCUACAGACGAUAUUAUAAUAUAAAAACCAUUAUACCCACCCAUCUGUUGCACCGGUCCAUGCCCUAUUCUAGUUGAAAAUCCUUGAAAUAAAAUCCGAUUGCUAAUAGUUUUUUUUUUUUUUUUUAUAAUCAUUCGUUACAGAUUUUGUUCGUCGGCGGUCGCUACGGAAAAUCGUCGAAAAUUUGAAGCGUUUAAACAGGUAACGUUCUUUUAAUAUUUUUUUUGUCAGGUUUAACUAUGGGGUUUUUUUUUUUUUUCGUUGUUGUUUUUAUUCCGUCUGUACGAUAUUCAAAUAAAUACAAUUUUAAUAAUACAAACGCCACGCGUUCGUGUACUUUUCUACCGGAACUGCGGUUUUCGGCAGUGAUAUUAUUUGUUCUGUCCGUGAUAUUCGCAAACCGGCGGAAUUAAUAAAUUAUAGUAGACGCACGAUUAUCGGCUUAUGAUCUCCAAUAUAGAAACGAAAUUAGACCGUUCGCAUUUUUAAGUCGGGCACCCGCCUAUAAAUCAAUCGUAAUUUAUUCGCAGACUCGUUUUUGGCAUUGCAGAGCUAGAGAGACAUGCCGAACACUGCGCGUCACGCGGUCGUAAUGGUGUUUUUCCCGAUUUUACGAAUACCCAACGUAACCCGUGUAUCGAUAUUAUUGCACGAGUAUUACACUAUACGGUUCGCGUUAAAAAAAUUAUAAUAUCGAGCGAAACACUCGAUGUCACACCCGCCGAUGCUGUUGCUGUCGACACACGCGCGUGUACCUUAUACAUUAUUAUAAUCGCAUUAAUUUUUCGUCGGCGAAAAAAAAAAAACAAAAAAAACGUACCUACAUAAAUCAAUGCGGUAACAACGAAAAAAUUAGGGAAUUCUCACUUUGUGAACCGGGAGGCGUUGUAAUUACUGGUUCCUAUAUCGUGCGCGUAUACGUUGUUUGGUACACACCCAAUGAUCGCAUAUUAAUUUAUUUGAUUCGUAUUUGUGUGUUUCUCAUUUGGUUCUUUCUCCUUCUCGGCGAUUCACGCUAUAUCCUUUAGCCGUGUAGUAUUCGUAAUCGGUAUUUUGAUUUUUCAUCAUUCUCCGGCUUUUGGUUAUGGGGGGGGAAAAAAAAAAAAAAAAAAAACGUCAAAACAUCGAAAAACCUUAUGUUUACACGCCCUCGCGGAUACGUAAUCCGUGGUCAAAUUCUAGAUUUUUCUGUUUUCACAACUCACAACAAAAGUAGCACAAACGUACACAUAUUUCUUAUGAACAACUGAAAUACCUAAUGAAGGAAGGCCAAUUAUUUAAGCGAAACGAGAACAUUUUUUUUUCGGUCAAUCCUUAUCAGUCCAAUAAGUUCGUCCCGGUUUACCGAAAAUUAAAUAAAAUAAUUUUUCUGUUUUGGUUAUUUUUUUUUUUUUUACGGGUAGUUUUCUAAACCUAUACUAACAAAAUGUGACAUCUCGAAGGCGGUGACGUAACUAAAACUCCUAAUGCCCGUGGCAAAAAUAUAUCUCCCCGCGCAGAAAGCGUUGCCGGCAAUGCUCAAAAUAAAACGGACGCAUAAAAAAAAUGCUAUGCUGAAUAUCUUGAAAAUUCAUUUUAAACACCCAAAGCGAAACGGCCAAUUAGCAAAAAGAAAAAAAAAAAAAAACGAUCGGUUUUCACACACUCGCCACCCACGUAAACCCGACGAACAAAACAACGGGGGCGNUAAAAAAAAUGCUAUGCUGAAUAUCUUGAAAAUUCAUUUUAAACCCCCAAAGCGAAACGGCCAAUUAGCAAAAAAAAAAAAAAAAAAAAAAUUAAAUUGUACGUGUACACGGCGGCGCACUCUCGCGCGCAAUCGACGAUUGCUAGUGGCGCGCCCUGAUCCGUGCCGGGGGUCCGAUUCACGCGGUUCGGAGGAUAAGAGAGAAAAAAAAAAAAAACGAUCGGUUUUCACACACUCGCCACCCACGUAAACCCGACGAACAAAACAACGGGGGCGCCGCUUGUUUUUUUUUUAUUCGACUGUCCGUCCGCCGAAAAAUAAUAUACCCCGGCGUCACGGGCCCGCGGCUCGACGGGUCGAAACGCGUUUAUGCGUUUCCAAACAACAUAACAACGGUAACCCGCGCGACGGCGUACCGCGCGUUCUUAUCGCGCGCACCGCAAUAGUCAUUCGCGGUGAUAAUAUCGUCAGCCGCACAACCGCGACGCUACGAUAUUUCGUAUUUGGCCGUUACGGUUCCGCUGAACUGACCGCGGACGGAAUCCGUUUCGCGCAGCGCCGCGAUCGUUCGGCGGUUAACGCCGUCGACAAAACGGACCGCCGUUUCCCCUACCCGUUCGUUUACGCACUGCGGCGAUAAUAUUAUUACAACAGAAGUUGUUCGGCGGAAUCGUAACGACAAAUGGUUCCGAGUAUACGACCGAAAAGGUUUUAAAGUGAAUACGAGUAUAAUGUACAGCGUAAUGUAUCGUUUGGUUUCUUGUAUUUUUUUUUUUUCCCCCUCCUCCAUAUUCCCCGCCCCCACCGGUCCGAGGAUCUUUAAACGAUUAUUGCUACGCUUAUACACUCGGUUUUAUAAAGUUUUCUUAUAAUAUACAACUGCAACACGAUUAUUAAAUUUUUUUUUUUAUUAUUAUUAUUAUUAUUAUUAUUACGAUUAUUCCACCGCCGCACAGAGAAAAAGCCGUUUCGCGAAAUGAUAAUAAUAAUGACGUCUAGCGGGGUGCGGCGCGCUCGCGUUAUUAUUUCUUCUUUAUGCGAUUUGACUGCCGCCCGCAAUUUUUAUGUCAAUAGUUUUUUUUUUUUUUUUCGGCAACUAUAUAUAUGUAUAUAUAUAUACACACAUUAAUAAAUAUACGCGUAUAGUACCGCGCCCUGGUGUCCGAAAAAUCGUGUCGGGGGUCGUUUUUCUUUUUUAUCGGUCAAAAUCGGAUGCUCCAGAUGGUUCGCCGAAAACAAACACGAUAAACUCGCUCCGUCCGGGGUACCCCGCGUUGCGCAACAUAACGCGACGGCGGAUCGAAGUGAAACGCGACACUUAAAACGGACGGCAUGCCUCCUAGUCGCGCGCCUAUAUCGGAUAUCCGAGUUCAAUAAAAGAAUGUCGUUGCGUUUCGUUAUUAUAAAAUUUUCGUAUUUUUCAAUUCCCGGCUGCUCCGGUUUCGAUAAUAGGCCGGCCUCGGUAUAAUGAGCAGCAAAGACCAUCGCGUUUCACGCCCGAUCCUCCUCUAUCCGAUGGCCGUCCAUAUCCCUCCCUCUCUCCCGGAUUACAAAUACACGCGGUUCGAUAUUUCGGGACAUCCCAAUACGGCCGCGGGCUGUGUCCGGCCGACCGGAAGCGUCAUUAUAUAAGCUUUUUCGUAGCAUUUCGGUUAUUUUUUUUUCAAGUUCCUGCGUACAUUUUCAACGGUUUAAUGGUUUUAUUGGUUUCGCAAUGACGUAUACAGGCCGUCUCACGAAUAUACGUCCCUCGAGGCCUUUUUUUUUUACUCACAGGGACGAAGACUACAAAUAUUUAUAUUUGAAUUAAUUUUUUUUUUUUUUUUAUUAAAAACAUUUAAAAAAAUAACUUUUUGUUUUAUUAUUUUCGGAAAAUGUUCAGAUAGCUAUUAUGUAGAGUUUCUUUUUCUGAAAGUCUGAAUGUAUCACACAUUUACAUCGGACGAAUAGUUUCUAAAUAACAGCCGUUUCGAAUUCUCCUAAUCCCUGUGAAAAUAUAUGACAUUAAAGUUUUCGGAAAAUAAUAAAAUAAGUUAAUUUUUUCAAUUUUUUUAGUAAAAAAAUUGAAUUCAAAAAUAAAUAUUUGUAGUUCUCAUCCAUGUGAGUAAUAUACAAAAAAAAACAGAAUUUAAUUAUCAUUAUUAUAUCCGGAGAUAUUCAAAGGGUAUAUCUUCGCGGGACAACCUGUGUAUAUAUUUUUUUCUAACAACUUUUCUACUUUCGCUCCGAAUUUCAUGUUUUUCAAAGGCCGUAAUAAUUACGGUUCGAAAAUAAUACAUUUCGUAUAUUUUCCCGUUUUUUCUACGUUUUUUCUCGGUUUUUACUAUUUCCUAUAAAAACUCCUAGGUAAAUCAAAACGACCCCUCUAAAUGACCACUUCACUCAGAUUUCCAAUCAGAAAAAGCGCUACACUUAAAAGUAAUAAUAAAACAAACAUUAUUGUAAAACCGAAAUUCCUCAUUCUCCGUUCAGAAACUAAAAUUAUUUUGUUUUUAUCUAGAGAAAAAUACAGUUAUCUUAUCUAGAUUGUCAAGUUGUUUUUUUUUUCUGUUACAAUCAGUCAAAAUGUUGAAUACAUAAUAAAAAAAAAAAUACUAAGGUCGUAUACGUUAAUACUCUGAUCGUGGUUUUCUUGCUCUGAUCAUUUAUUUAAAUUAAAAAAAAAAACUUAAAAUUAAAAUAUAAAAACAAAAUAAAUAUUUAAAAAAAAAAAAAAACAAUACGCGAUACUUACAACAUUAACUUAUUGACGUACAAGUUAUAUCGCUUUAAUACGUGAUGGCAAUUGCACGUUGAAACGUAACAAUAAUACUAUCUAUUUUGGCUGCUGAAAUUGCGCAGAAGCUAUUGUACCUAUAUGCAAGGCAGUGGGAAUAAUGAAUUCAUGAAAAUCUAACGUUCGACGUUUCGGCGCGAUUGUAUUAUUUACUUCACGUUAUGAAGUAUUCCGGUCUUCAAAACACACCUGGCUAUUUAAAAAAAAAAAAAACUAUCGAUACGUUUUUCGUACGGCUCUGUCGACACGUUUUCUCGUUUAAAAAUAAUAUAGAAUUAUUAUCGCGAUAAAAACGCGCCGUCACGACCGACUGGGUGUUUAAUGUUAUCGCAUUACGCCAGUAAUAGUCGAUUGUCGGGGGUGAAUUCGCUAGCGCUAAUAUUUAUUGUUCGAGUAAGUUGCUUUUCUGGCACCGACGAGCGACGAUUACUGCGCGCACAUCACACGUAAACCGGAUGUUUAUACCCGCGUCUACCGUCUCAGCCCAAACUGCCGGGUAACGUAACAUAAACAGUGCUUACACAGAACAAGUGAAAUUAAGCUUAGUUUUGAUUUUGAAACAAAAGUGCCAAUUAUGAAAUGCGCGGGGGAAAAAACGGGUGUUUUUUCAAUUGCGAACCGUUCGAAAAGUAACAGUUGUUUAAAAAACGAUUGGACACUAGUCGGUGGGUAUGCGCAACAUUGUUCGGCCAAUAACCCUCCCGAAAUCCGUCAUAAUCUCUGAAAGGACCGAACGGGCCUCGAUUCGUACCGGUAGAGUAUGGAUGAUGGACGGUAAAGGUAGGUAAGAACAAUGUUGUAAGGGUACAAUCUAUUGUAGCCGCGGGUAACAAACCUAGACGUUCCAGUCUGUACGGGGAGAUAGAAUAAUGAUAAUAUAAAAAAAAAAAACACCGACGUAGGUAUGCAAUACAAACAAUUAUUAAGUAUUAUAGAAUAUAUCCGCGUAAUAACGAAUGCACAGUUGUACGUUGUUGACCACAAAACAAAAACAACGUCUUUGUAAAACCAUAAGCUUUUUCGUUCCACUCGGAAUCUAAAAGACGUAUUUGUAAAACACGUACGUUCCGAAUAAAAUAUAAGAAAACUUAAAUACACUUGCUUCCUUUGAUUUGCAUCGACCGCCGACGCCCGUCGGUAAAAUAAAUGUCGAAUAACAUCUGCAACGAAACGAACAGCGACUUAAACGUAUAGUCUUUCAGUAAAAGCAAACAAAUUCGGCUUAACCGUUCGUAUUUAAAUUUGAUUAGAUGGGUACUCGGCCACUUAGCGUGACCAUAACGUGUUCGUCUUAGGGGUACACAAGUCUUGGGCACUUAAAUACCGUUUUAUUUUUUAUUUUUUUGUUAUCGCGUACAAUUUUAUCUUUAUAUAACAUUGUAUACCCUUCCGCCUUACCCGUCCGGCUUUUUUUGUCGUUGUUGUUGUUGUUGUAAACAAAAUAACCGUAGAGACCUGAAAUUUUCAGCGAGUUCUCAGACCACGUCGGCGUUCACUGGUCGUGAUGUAAUUUCCAAAAUACUUUCGAGUUGUUCGCGUAAACCGUACGAGGCAUUACGGUUUUCGACCGAAUGAUUUAUUUCGAAAAUGCGACACAGCGUAAUCGUGUACGAAUAACAUAAUUACGUUACGACAACUUUUAGACGUAAACCCGAGACGAAAAACAACAGUAUUGCGUGGGGGGAGGGGGGGGGUGGCAAUCUUUUACAAUGCGUAACGAUAAUCGGGAAACCGUCAACUCGGUCUGUCGUGCCCGAUAUUAUUAUUUUACCCCGCGCAAUAAUGUCGCCCGCGCGAAACCCCGUACAUUUCAGCCGUUUCAAGCGGAUUUUCACGCGCGAAACGAUGAACGCACAGUUUUUGCGUUGCGUUUCGCCCUUUCGCCAACUCGCGGAUUUGUCGGGUUAGCCCGAAUCCGCGGUUUCGUAACGGUGUUUUUUCGGCCUAUCCGCACGUUCAACGUACCCGGACCCUCGCGUCCGAAUCGAAAUUCGGCCGUUCGCGUUCUCCGAACACGCAAUCGCUCGCUUAAAUUAUGUAUAAAAAAAAAAAAAUAAAUAUUUAAGGUAGGCGUGUUACUCGGACAAAAAAAUUAUAUAAUCGGACUUGUUUACGAAAAAUGUUUUCCGCGCCGCCCGUAAUGUACGUUUAGGAGUUUCUGGAAAACGGGUCGUAUUUUUCGUACCUUUACGGCCGUUGGUAUUUUUUUUAAGUGUUCUUAAAUGGCACGCUACCCGGCGCCAGUGACACUAUUACGGGCACAAAGAAGAAAAAAAAUAAACCCGUUGUUUUUUUUUUUAUUUCCAUUUCCAUUUCCAUAUUAUAGUUUAUUGGUUUCGUUGUUUUUCUUUUCUAAGAAAAGUGAUAAGUAAUUUUCGUUUUCAUUCGCCUUAUAUUGCCCUCCUUGCGUAUGACAAUACGCGAGUCUACUCGGGACAGUAGUAUUUUUUCAAAGCGGCUUAAAAACAUUGGAAAAAAAAAAGGAGGAAAAACUUUUUACGCGUAUAUACACACGUUUACAUAAUAACGCGCGCCCGGCCAAAAUUAUCUAGUUUAAAGUAUGUGCGGCAAUAAUUUAUACCGGACGGCUACCAGCUAUAAUACAGCCACUGUAUUAUAAUAAUAGCUUUUAGAGCCCGCCUAAUGAAUCGGACGUGUUUUCAAAUUUUUUUUUUUCUUAUGUAAUAAUUGCUUUAAAAAAAACAAUCCGAAUCCGAAACAAAAACGCAUUAUUAACAGUACUCGUCCGCAUGCGAAUACUCGCAAUAUAAAUACAUUUGUUAAAUUGGCGUUGUUCGCGCGUUCCGGCAUAAUAUUCUGUUAUCGUCAACCGACCGCGGGUCUGUUGUUUAGUGGAUUUCGCCGUGUACGCGCAACCCCGGCGUUUCGCCCCGCCAAAGCGACCGGGCGACGCGAGAAACGGGGCUCGUUUUGCUCGUUUCGCGGGACGAAAAACGGCCGCGCGUCACUGCGUCUAUACCGCGAGUCGUUUCACCGUCGGUAAUUACGUUGACGGCGUAUCGAGUCGCACUGUCGUCCGUAACAGUUUCGGCGUCGGUGCGAUUAAAUAAUGGGCGACGAACGUUGAAAUUCCGGCGCUACGUUUUAUCGGAUUUGAAAAGUUCGAAUUUGAGGGAAUUUAAAAAAAAAAAAAAAACAAUGACAAUUGAUACCGAUAAUGGCAACAGAACGGUAAUAGAAAUCGCACAGGCACGUGAAAUAGUUAAAUAAUCGAACGACGCCGGAGGUCCGGGUGAAUAUCGGUCGCUCGGAUAUCGAUUCGGUGCGCUGGUCCGGCCUUGUUAUCUAACGGUUUGAACACGACGACACGAAACAGGCGGGUAAAUUGUGAAUCGCAACAAACAAUUACCGCGCGUAAACAAAACGAACAGCGCGCUCUUCUCGGAUGAUAACGUUACGAUCGCGAUCCGCGGUAGGACAUUAUUGUGCGUUUAACGAACGUCUGAGAAACGAAAUAAAAAAAUAACAAUAAUAAUAAUAAUAUCACCCGGUCGCGUAUCGCAAUGCCAAUAGUACAACAACAGUAGUACGAACGACGGUAUUGUUCUGCGAGACGAGCAACCGUUGAAGUGAUUCGUUUUUUUACACGACUCGCGCAUUGUGAUCGGACCCGACUUACGUGUUAAUACUCACGCACGUACAUUUACCCGAACAAUCAUGACUCUGAUCGUACAUUGUAUUAUGGAACUUGGGAGAUGGCGCGCCUAUAAUAAUACUUCAGCGGCGGCGUUCAAACAGAGCGUUCAAUGGUUUUCCUUAGGAAACUACAAGAAAUAUUCCGUUACUCCUUAUUUUCAACCUAUCGAAAUACGGCGUCUAAUUUUCGCGCAAGGUGCGCUCCACUCACUGGCAUGCGCAAUAGGGGGGGGAGGGGGUGUUAACGGUUAUAAUCCACCCAUUGGCUUAGAACUAAAACGACUGUGAGUGUUACGCUGUAAAUUUAUCUUGAAAUUGAACAAAAAUCGGCCGUAUUUACUUCCGGCUUUUAUUGUGUCCAGAUUCUACGAUUGAAUAAAUAAAUCAUGAUCGUCUCCUCCCGUUGUAAAUUCCUUGGACAGGCCUCUGAUUGAUACUCGACGCUAUGAUUCCUAUCGGAUCUAACAGGUUCGUCUUUUUAUAUUAUUAGGGACAUUUUCCAUUUUAAUAAUAAAUCCUACUGUAAAAAAAAAAAAAAACGAUAACAAAUUUCCUAUAAACAAUUGUACAUACUCGUUGUACGUGAGAUCGUGUGCACAUAUAAAGGUUUUAGAUACGUGACGUUUUUGAAAAAGUGCAUCAUAGAAUUCAUAAACGUUGCACGGCCUAAAACAAGUCAAAGACACAUUUAUCACCUUGGCGCUUAAUCUGCUAAUAAUGAUGAUCUACGGUUAAAAUCAGUGACAUGUGAAAAAUCUGUUUUCUGUGAAGCCUUUUCCCCGAUCGUCGCCAUCGCUAAAUCACAUAUUACGAGCUGAUCGGGAACGAAUUGUAAUUAUGAGUUAUAUUACUUCAAAACUCACUGGUCUGCGGUGUUUAAAAUCUACAAUCUUACGGUUCCGACGAACCCACGAUUCGCCCACCAAUUUUAGCUGAAACAUUGGUAAAAAAAAAAAAGAAAAAGCAAAGCAGUUCACCACGUUCGCCACCGGUUUAUAAUAUUAUACAAAAAUACACGCAUAUCUCGAUAUUCUUUAGUACACGGAAAAUGGAAUAUGUAUACCGUUAAAUUAUGUAUAUAAAUUAUAAUAUAUUACGGAGAAAAAAAUAGGUAGGUAGUAAAUAGUGAACGAUUGAAAUGUUUUUCAUAUUUGUCAUAUACUUGAAUGUUUUCACGAAUAAAACGCAUAUUCUAUUUAAAAUCGUAAUAUUUUGAUUUGUUUUAUUCGUAUUUAUCACAUUGGGACAGAAAAAAAUUUGUUGAGCACUUUCCCGGUAAAAACUACUGAUAUGUUUUGGUAUAUUUCUAUUUUUUUUUUUUUUUGUCGUAUUUAUUUAUUUUCACUACCGUAAUGAUAAAACGAGAACGUCUCAACAUUAGAUCAAUGAUUUUUUAUAAUAAAAAUGUGAUGACGCAAAACAGACGAAAUUACAUAAAAAUUCGUUUUUAAAAAUAUUUCUUGAAAAAAAUACGAAAUUUUAAUGUAUGCAAAAUUUUUCCAGAAAAAUCUACCCCAUGACGAGUUAUUACUAACUAAAUACUAUUUUCGGCCAAAUUCGUGUAUUUUGAAAUGUCGUGAUUUUACGAUUUUCACCAAAAUUUGAACAUGAAAAACAUCAAACAAAAAUGUCUAAAUAUUUUACAAAUUUUUCCACGAUUAAAAAUUUUCGAUAGGCAUAAGUUUUCUGUGGACAUUUAUGAUAUCUAAGGUUACUAUUUUUAACUGGGUUACAGUAAAAUAACAAAAUCGUAAAUAAAGAGACCGAUAUUUAUAGUUUUCCAUUACGUUUUCCCUAAUAGUAAAAAAAAAAAAAAAAUGUAGCAAUAAAACGGGUAAUUUUUUCCUCGUGUAUGAUUGAAAACAAGACAAAUACCUAUACAGGAGACAGAUAAUGACUAAAGCUGAGAUUUUAAUUCACCUUGCAUUUUUAUCAAACCUUGCUGUCCAAUGUUCGUUUUGCUACAAAUUAUCGUUUGAUGUAUUUUUGAUUAAAAGUAAGAAAUUGCAUUUUAAACUGUUUUACUAUUUUUGAUUUGUAAAUCAUUUUUCCAUUUCAUAGAGCGUUUAUGAUAGGUGUUUUAUUUUAAAUUUUCAGGGCGUUACAAUAAAAAUAUAUAUUAUACAAUUUUCGGGGGGGGAGGGUGUUCAUUAAAUUCCCAAUUCCUUAACUGUUAUAUACUCUUGUGCAUUUUCUCUAGUACAAUUUUUACUGAUUUUUUUAACGUUUUCCCCGACAGUUUGGAUUCAAAUUUUCGAUUAUCGGACGUUUAAAAAUCUUUCUAAUUCCGAUACAAAGUACCGACGUACGGUUCGCACAACAAUAUGUUCUUGACGUUUCUCUCGCGAACGGAGUUCCCUUAGCAAUAAUAUUAAUAAUAAUAUAAUAUUCCAUCCGAAAUCACUUUAUUAUAACUCCGAGUUUGCCUGCUCGUACUACACGACCCGAAACUACUCUAGGUAGUAAACUAAUUACGGAUUCGCAUAGGUAAUACCUAUAACCAUUACGCCUUGAACGUAUGUAACUCUCAUCGUAAGUGUUUUAAAAAUAUUAUUGUGCAUUGAAUAUUAUUUUUUUUUUUUCUUUUGCCACUGUCUGCGCGAAAACUCGUUUUCUUAUAAAUUUCGAAAAAAUAAAAGCGACUAGAACUUUUUCAAUUAUGUUUACUGCAAAUAUUUUGUUUAUGCGAUAUUUCUGUUUACUUUGGAAAAAUUAAUUUAAUGACAACAGUUUUGACUGCGUAUAUAAUACCGAAACCUUUAUUGUUAUUAAUAUUCAGUCGGGAAUUCUCAAGGUACUUUUAUGCAAGAUUAAAACUGAAGCGUUUCUCUCUCUCUCUCUCUCUCUCUCUCUCUCUUUCGGCCUAAUUCCGUCUCUGGGUCGUGAUAAUUCCCUUUGCUCCGUGCGAAGUUCAAAAUUGAAUUGCGUUAAUUGUUAAUGUAAUAAAUUCACGAUCGUACAAAAAACUAUGUAAACUGAGAAAUGUCGACGUUUUCAACAAACGUAAAAUAGUUACGGUGGAGUCACCACCUAUGGCCGGUACCACUGUCAGUGGCUUGGCAAAGGGAUUUUAAAGAUGGGUGUGAAUAAAAAAUGGAAACCUACUUUGGUAGAUAGUUAAUUGAAUCAAUGGCAUUUUUACAGGUGACAAAUACAUAAAAGAAGGCGGGGAUAUUUUGAGCAUUAUCGUUCAUAAAUGUUCGUAGAUCCACUGAUCCCUGCAAUAGCCACUCAUAUUUUAUUUUAUUCGUAAACAGUGUAAAUUCGUAAUUGUAUAUACCAUCUAUGGUUAUUAUUUUAAUAAUCAAUGUUAACGCAUCGGGCGAUAUCGGUUAGUGCGAAAACAUAUGUACCGCGGUGUAUAAACGGCAUUGGCAUGGCUGUAGAACGGGACAGUGUAAUUUUUAAAUUAAGAAUACAAAUCUUUCGUAAUCUUUUUUUAAGACUUUGACAUUUUCUAAACUGUAUGUAACGGUAAACGUGUGAUUUAUGUUUAUGGUUUAGUUUUGAUAUAGCUGUCUAUAGUCGUAGACGGAUUAAAACCAAAUAUUAAUAGAAUAAUUAACAUUAAUGUCUUUUAGGCGCGUGAAAUAGAGCUUUCCGUUUAAAACUCUAAUCUAAUCACAUAAAAUACGAUCAAAGACGGUUUAAGGACGCGAUACGAAAUUAGAACAUUCGAAGACGGUAAUAUCACACUCGAUUCUCACCUCCGUCCGACGCCAUUUUGUGUCGCGUAACUAAACGUAGAUGAUAUUAAACUAAUAUAUUACGGUAAAGGCUUAUACGAUUUCCACUGGGUUUGUGUAAACGCCAAAAAGUUUACGCGGAAAUAACACACUCGUAAUAUGAUGAUAACGCAUUAUAGUAUAUUUAUAGUUUCGAAUGUCUUUAUUUGAUAGUAUUUUUUUUUUUUUACUACGUCUCUAUAUUCGUUUUAUAUUUGGUCCCGUAUCUGUAAAGUUCCACGUGUAGAUAUCUUCGUUUUCGAGUUAUGUAUACAGGCAACUGCAAUAUUGUAAUAACGAAAAUUGCGUGUGAUACUGCGUUUAAAAAAGAGCUGAUACCGGGGACAUGUGUGCCACUGUCGCAGGUGGGAAGCUGGGAAGGUAGGACGCAUAAAGUUACUUAUUAUUAUUGAUGCAUAUCUGUGCGAAACGAUUAACCAUUGCUAACGUACAGCGAUUCCGAGUAAAACGAUAAACAAUAUAUGCGUCAUAUGGUAAAAUAAUUACGCAUGCAUUAAAUAUUUUCUUUAACAAAUUUUUGUUUUUACUGUACCUAUUUUCCCGUGUUUUUCCGUGUUUUUUUCCCGGUUUUCCUUAUUUAUUAUGAAAAUAUGGGAGAGUCAAAAAAAAAAAAUGAUCUCCUUAAAGUGCUGCCCCAGUUAAAUUUUCUUUCAGAAAAAGUGUAGCACUUGAAAAUCGAAUCAGAAUUACUGGUACAACAGUCAUUCAUAGAUAUAUAUAUAAAAAAAAAAAACAUCAUUUUAAAACCAAUACAUUCCUCACUCCGCUCAGAAUCUAAAAUGUACCAAAUGUAAAUUUACAUGGUAAAAUUCAUAUUAAAAAUCAACCAAAAUUGUAUCAUAUGUACGCCUACCUAUGAAACGCAAUUGUCUCUAUUUAAAUAUAAAUUUGAUGGAAAAAAAAAAAAUAAAAAAACAAGGGAAGAAAUUGAUGCACUGUUGUUUUUAAAUAAAAAUAAUGUACACUAGUCUUUAGACCGGAAAUUUUUUAUCAAAACGGAAAUUGAACGUACUUACUUAAUAGGUAAUCGUGUGUAGGAAUAUGUUACGAUUGCCGCUAUAUUGUCUGUUAGUUGAAAUUGUUUAAACACCUAAUAUUUGUUAUUAUUUGCAAUAUAUUUUAUUUAAAAUAACUGUACAUUUAAUACGAAUAAUAUAUGUAUUUUAUAGAAAGUUAAUACAUUAAUGUAUUUCCCGCGAUCGUGAAAUACAUUAUAAUUAUUAUUAAAAUGUUUUGAACCGAAAGGUGUCAUUUUUUUUUUUUUUUUUUUUUCUCUCCGCGUGACAAAUUAUUCGUAGGUACCGAACAAACCGCUUUUAUCCAUUAUACAGGCGUAUACCCUCUACGCAGGUAUACGUACGAAAAUAUUCAGACAUCCGUUCUGAAUUUGUAAUGAAGUUUAUAUUAUAAUGUGACAAAGUGGUGAACAAAUUUACGAAGGUCUCUUUACAGUUUUUUUUUUUUUUUUUUUUUUCGGUAAAUUAUAUAAACGUUCCAAUUUCAAGUAGGUAUACACCGCGAACGGUCGUACCGCUUCUAUAUAAUAUUAUAAUCGUUUUAAAUAAAUAAAAAAAACCAUUGAGAUAAAUGCUUAGUUUAAAAUAAAUGUCGCUAUAUAUUAUGUUAUAAGAUGUUUUUUACAAGUAUUAUUUUUUAUUCUGUAAUUAAGCGUAGUUUUUUUCGAAUAUUUCGGUUUCGCUUUAUUAUGGUGGCGUGUGCUUUCAUCGACAUCACGAGUAGAAUUCCGGUAGCCGAAAUAUGUGAUCUAAUACAAAAUUAGACGUAAUAAGAUUAGAAGUACUCGUAGUUGUCGCGUAUCUUUUCCUCGCUACUCUUGGACAAGUUUAGCAGGUCUCGUUGGACCAAAUAAGCUCGAACUGGGGAAUUAGAAUUGCUUUACGGGUGAAUUAAAGUGAUACCUGUUGAAUCGAAUUUAAAUAUAAAUUUCACCGUCUUUUUGCGAUAAAAUUAUGUUACUUUUAGCUUACGACCACUCUAAAUGAAGCUAUGGGGAAAUUACAUUUUGUGUAUUCAUUAUGCACAAAAUGUCAUCAAAGAUGUAUUGAAAUGUAUUAAUGCUUUUUGGAGAUUUCGAAUUCAAAUCCCGACCCCUUCCAUUUGUAUGAUCAAACGUCAUGGUUUCAUAAGAAAUACCGGGUUUUAAAUACCUCUAAAAACUAAAAUGUAAUAUUAUACAUAGUAAUGUGAUACUCGAAUAGUAUUCGGUUUUUAUUAUUUUAGAAAUAUUUAUUUUUUACACAGUUUCUAUUUCUAUAGCACAAAAUAUCUAAAUGAGAGAAAAUUCGGCUCUCGUAACAGAGCUCUUCUGCUCACAUUAUUUGUAAUUGUUGACAAAAGUCCGAAAAACGGGAAUACAAUAACUGUUAUUUUUUUUUUUUUUUUUUUUUUGUAAUUUAACGAGAAAAUAAUCGAAGAGACUUGUAACUUCCAUCCAAUGUAUAUAUAAUAUAUGUUUGUUUUACAAACAUGUUUUGUUUUGUGUUUUUGUUUUACAUAUACAUAACAAAUUCAAAAUUUUCUAGACAUGGUGCAAUUUCAAAAAAAAAUCUGGCUGAUCUUGAGUUAUAUUUAUAGCUAUUCGGAAUUUUCGAGUUUAAUCAUAAAAAAAAAAUAUGUCCUUAGAUAAUGAAGACGGAUGCAGUCAAUUUUAUAGGUAAUUUAAUGUGUGCCUGUCAGCACGGAUUAACCAUUGAUAACGAAAAAACGAUUCUAAUAGUGAUAGUUGAUAGUGAUGCUCUAUCAACAAGAUACAUGUCAUGUUAUGGUAAAAUAAUUAAAUAGGCAUUACAUAUUUUCAUUAAUAAUAUUUGUUUAAUGUUGUACCGGUUUUCCCGUUUUUCUUACGUUUUUCCUCCGUUUUUUUUUUCGGUUUUUCAUAUUUGUUGAGAAAACUCCUUGGGAAGAUCGAAAAAUGUAACUCACCUGUAAGAUUUACUCUCAGAAAAAGUGCUAUAAUUAUAAAUCGGAGCGAAAUUGCUGGUAGAAAAAGUUUUUGAAUAAAAGAAAAAAAUAAACACCUUUGUAAAACCACAAGCUUCUUCGCCCCACUCUGAAUUCAAAAUAGUUUUAUUUUAUUGUUUUGAUCAACAUGUAGAACGCGAAUUUAAAUACGAUAAAAUCCGUUGAAAACACGAACAAUACGAUAAUUUGUAUUGUUAUAAAUUAAUGUGAUUUUCAAUUUAAAUCUAUCGAUCAGUACUUACCGGGAUUCGCUCAGAAUCGUUUUUUGUCAGCAGUUAUUUUUCGUAUGCGUCAGCAUAAAAACUACCGCUUUGUACGUUCGGGUGUCACCUCGAAAACAGCAUUUUUUUUUUUUUUUUUUCCUUUUUCACAUCUCGAUUGCGACCCGUACAAAGCAUGUGUAGGAAACGUGGCGGUUAUUAAAACUGAAUAAACAUCUCAAUUCACGUCCUACUGAUAUUAAGUACGUCGAUAUAAAUGUGACACAGCGAAACUCACGCAACAGCGAACAGAAUUCGGCGCGAAUGGCGCUUUCCAGUUCGUUAACGAUAGGAAAACGGAUACGAUUGCGGAUACACCGCAAGGUCGCGAAGCUAGUGGCACGCAGUUGUGUACUGUUGCGCUGCUCUUGCCUAGGUACCGCUUUAGUGUCAGCGUUGUUCGGCUCAUAAAAAGUACCGGGAACGGACGUUUUUCGGAAUUUAAACCGAAAUAGAUGAGCCGGUAUUACAAUAAUAUUCGACUUUAAAUUUCGCUUUCUUAAAAAUGUUGGCGAAUGAAAAUUAUCGGAAUGCCGUUCAAACGGUACGACAACGACAUUUUCAAGAGCGAAAGUAAAUUUAACGUUAAAUGGCCGUACAGUCUCGAAUCGUGUAUUGUGCGAACCGAUAAUGAAACGACAAAAAAUACGUAAUAAUACCGAGGAAAACGCUACCGGGAAUAUUCGUGAGCCACUGCGUUAAAUAUAGUUGGUGUGCGUUCGUUUGUAGUUUUACUAAGACUGAUCAAACGCCCGUAUAGUGGCUAAUUUUAGAUCCUGAAUGGAGCGAAGAAGCUUAUGGUUUUACAAUGACGUUUUUCUUUUUUUUUUUUACUAUUCUGUGAACCACUUUUCUACGAGAAACAUUGCUGCGAUUUACAAGCGAAGCGCUUUUUCCGGAUGAAACCGGGAAGUUACUUUAAUGAUGUAAUUUUUGAUUUUUUUUUUCUCAGUAGUUUUCCCAAUAUAUCGGAAAAGACUGAGGAUAAACGGGAAAAUGUGCGAAAUGUGUGGAAACGCUGGUCAUGCCCACGGCGCGAAAGAUGAAUUAAUUUCUAUUUUUUUCGUUUAAUAUCGUUUAGUUGAAAUUAACAAACCAAACGUAUUAAACAAUCAGCUCUCAAUUAGCUAAUUAUAAAUCGUGUUUGUAAUUUGGCGUGAGUUUUUCGGCAAAAAAAAUAAAUACGAAAUAUUCGAGUAAACAUAACCGACAGAACGGCGAGAUUUGUUUACAAAUUACGAGACAGUACGCGCAUUGGCUUUUAAAAACGAAGACGAUCGCGCUUUUCCUUGCGGUCCGCGAGCCGUCCCGUAUGUUCGGACGUUCGUACCGCGGUGAUAUUUAUGCAACACGACAAAGGCGGCGUGUUUGCAGCGAAACGCGCGGCCGAUUGGCCGUGUUAAAUUGUAUUAAUUGUUAUUAUAGACGGCGAACGAUUAAUUAAACAAUUAUUUUUUUUUUUUUUCUGUUCAAAUAAUACUAAUUGAACGCAACACGAUUAACAAUCAUCAGUCGGUAAUUGACGGUUUAAUCGGAUUAAACGCGUAUUUUACAUUCGAGUUUAAACCGACGGUGUGCGCCGACUAACGCGUACGGCCGACGAGUCGAGCGCACGCCACAAUAUAAACAGUCCGAUGUCGAAAACUACUCGGCGAGAAACGCGCGCGAAUGCGUUACCCGUGGGUACGCCGGUACACGAUAGUCGACGGAGGGGGGGAGGGGGCUCGUCUAAAAAAAGGGACGCGGAACGCGGAGUGUUCGAUUCCCUCCCCCCCUCCCGACUUCCCAUCUCUUUCCCGUCGUCCCCGAACAAUCGUUGAUCGGACAACAUUGCUGCGCCAUGUCCCGCCGUACGUCAAAUUAUUAUCGCGUUAUCGCGUUUGUCGCGGACGUUUUGAUAACGCGUGCGAGUAGACGGGGAACACUCCGCCGGGAAAAAAACGAUAAAUUCCAUUUGCGCGGAAGAAAGAAAACAAAAAAAAAAAAACAUUUCGAACGUUUUUUCUGCCGUGACAAGCCGCACGAUGCCGCGGUGCCGCGCUCGCGCGCGUCGCAUUUGAUCGUAAAACGGCCGUCACUCCUGGUCCGGUUGCGGUUCCGCCGACACCACCGCGCGCCCCUCCCGUCCGUUUUUCCCGGCUAAAACGCUCCGUCUCUGGUCUUCGCGUUCCACCGACGACGACGCGCGCGCACACGAGAACCCCGUCCUCCGGCAACCCUGCACGUCUGUCCGCGCGCCGCGCCGUCACCUCGGAGCCGUAACGCCAUCCCGGACAACGCGCGUCGCGGAUAACGGUCGCCGUCGUCGUCCGGUAUGAAUGGAAAAAAAACAAAAAAAAAAACCAAAAGCGUCGCCAUUUUUCACGCGGCGAAAUCUUCCGUGAAAAUCAACGACUCCGUCGUAAACGAUAUUCGGCACCGCGCGUUUGACGAUUUACCCUCCGGGGUACGCGACAAUGAUUGAAAUUCGCCGUUUUUUUUUCAAAUUUCAUUGUUACGCCCGUUUACCGCCGUCGCGUUGUUUAUUAUUCCGCUCCGUGUUGGUUUUCGGUUUCGGCCGUGUCCGACGAAAACGAAUGGGCGGAAAUCGGGCGGCCGGUCCGCCGGCUAUCGUGAAAUUUCAAUAGCGCGGACAAUUGUCACGAAUAACAAUAAUAACGGGUUUCAAUAGUCUUCUGUUCCGCCGCGGCGACCGUCGAAACAGACGAAAGUAAAAACAGACGAGCGAUCGUUGCCCGUUCGUACCGGGGACAUCGCCGAAAACCCGCGUUCCGCCCCAUCAGGAGGGUUUCCGUGACCCUUUCUCGUUGAAAGCAUUUGGAGGAACCGCUGUUUCGAAUUUCGAGCGCGUACGUGAGACACGAGCGAUCGGCGGCAUUCGGAUUUUGUACACACACGUGGGAUUCGAUUACACGGAUUCGAUCAGGCGUGUGCGGUUUGCGCGAUUGUACUGACCGCGUAACGAUAAUGUUGGGCCGUGCGAUUCCGGGCGGGACUGUAGAUUUGAUUUGCGUCUCGGGAGAUUAUUCGAGUGUUAUUAUGACGGUCGAAUCUCUCCGCGCGGUUAAUUUAUAUCUACUGCGCGAACGUAUUAUACAGUCUAUAAAUACAGUCGGUAAUUUUUUGGCACCUGAAACUGUACUGCGCGGUAUGCCGGGAGUUUCUACUGUAAAAAAAAAAUACCUAUAACCAUUAUUGUUUAUUACGUAUUGGCGUCGAUAUUUAGUCCGGCAAAGGAUUGUGCGGGGUGCCGUUAAUGCAACGGCAAUAUUAAAAAUGUUGCGAAAAACGACAAAAAAAAAAAAUCAAGUUUUUCACGAUAAAAAUAAUUGCGCGAAACUUUCACCGCGACAUUCUAACAAUCCCAUCGCAAUGUGUAUAGGUUACGAAAUCGUUCAGUGCUCGCGUGAAAACACGGCGAAAUCAAAUUUAUACGCCGACACGAAUUAACAACAAAAUGUUACUAAUAGCAACAAUGCAUACUGGGUGAUCCGUUUAGGUGGCCGCGCCCGUCGUCUCGGGAAGCAUAUCUCGGAAUUUGUUUUCUAGAACAUUUAAAAAACAAACGGCUCUACAAUUUUUCACUGCGUUAUUUAUGUCGUUUUUGUCAACCUUAUUUUUGGGAGCAUUGGAGCACUAUUAACACGCCGCGCACCGUACCACUACGCUAAUGAUGCUCCGCCAAUCUACGAACCCAUACUUAAAAGUGGAAUAUCUCUUAAACGGCUUGUUUUUUCGUGUCACAUUUUAGCACACGAAUUCAACGGUCACGACCUUACUGGCCUCCUAGAAUGGAAAACAGCUUCCCUGACUGAUAACCACGAAUUUCGAGUGUAUCAUUUGCCGCGCUAAUAAAAUAUUCUUCAUUGUAAAUCGAUUUAUGUUGUAACGACGUUUACGUUUUGGUUGUGCCUAAUUUGUAAUUUCCGUCUAACCCUCUAAACGAAUUUUAAUUACACAUCAGUGCGCAUGUUAACAAUGCAAAUUUGAUUGGUUAUACUAAUACCCGCAGACACAUAAUUGCUCCUAAAAAUUAUCUCAAGUCGCUUGGAGCUCUGUCUACAUCUGGUAUUUUUAUUUUUACAGACAGUCGAAUUAUUCCUUUACAAAAUUUUCUUUCUGAAAUAGGUUUCAAUAUAUUAACUUGAAUUUACAUAUUUUUUUUUUUUUUUUACAGAUUCAGCUCUUGGCUAUCCGGUUCAACAUUGCGAUAUAGAGUCGAGAUUAUCCGUUUAUUAAAUUGUUCGUCUGUCAGUACAUUAAAAUCGAUGUUGUCUAUCCAUCCAUAACAUUAGGUAAGUAGAGAAUAAAAACAGCCUAAA